UACGUAGGGACCGAGCGUUGUCCGGAUUCAUUGGGCGUAAAGAGCUCGUAGGCGGCUGUUCAAGUCGAACGUGAAAACUCGGAGCUCAACUCCGAGCCUGCGUUCGAUACUGGACGGCUAGAGUCUGGUAGGGGGAUCUGGAAUUCCUGGUGUAGCGGUGGAAUGCGCAGAGUAUCAGGAGGAACACCGGUGGCGAAGGCGGGAUCCUGGGCCAGUACUGACGCUGAGGAGGCG
rnacentral:rRNA from 1 species